rnacentral:tRNA from 1 species
AGUCCUGUAGCUCAACAGUGGAGCAUUUGCCUUACAAGCAAUAGGUUGCGGGUUCAAAUCCUGCCAGGACUACCA